CGGGAAUCGUCUCUGACGCUGCACCGAGGAGCCUGAGCCAGCGGAGAGGGCAUCUUCUCGAUCACGUGAUAUCCUACAUGAAAAGUGAUUACCGAAUGAAGACUCUGUCUUCCCAGGGAGGAUACAUUUCUUCAGAGGUUCCCCAAUGUGAGAAACCAUAAUAUAGAUCAGGUGAAUCCUGCAUCCGGACCGAGUCUGGAACGGCACAAAGGGCACCCGGUGACGCUGCAGUAUCCGUGGAGCAUCCAUCUUAGGAAGGAAUUUGCAGCAAGAUUCCAAGACUUUGCAGAGAUAGGGAAACUGUCACAUUUUAUAAAAACUCCUUAUGAAGUUUCUCCAGCGGGAGAAUGGACUGAUGUAGCUGAGAAGUUGUUCGGAAUUUCAAAACCUACGCUUCAAAUGGAGAUAAUCGACAUGCAAGAAGAUGCUUCCUUGAAAGUGUACAAAACUGCAUCCACUGAAGAUUUUUGGGCUAAGCAUGUUUUGGACAAGUACGCAAAUUGUAAAAAACUGGCUAUCAACAUAGCCACCAUGUUUGGCUCCACAUACAUAUGUGAGACCUCUUUUGCCAAGAUGAAUUUUCUGAAAAAUAGACAUCGAUCAAGGUUAACAGAUGCCCACCUUGAAGACACUCUGCGUAUUAGUUGUUCUCCAAGAGUUCCAAACUUUAAAAAACUGUCUCAGGAUGGGAAGUGCAAUUUCUCGCAGUAAGGGAGUGAUUCAGGUUGGUUUGCAAAAGCAAACUCCUUCUUUAAUGUACAAAAACAUGUGCACUGCAGGUGGGACUGAUGUAAAAUGUGCAGAGAAAGUUACAUUUGGGUGGGGUGUGUUCAAACUGACUGAAACCUAAAUUGCAGUGUAAAAAUAAAGCAGCCAGUAUUUACCCUGCACAGAAACAAAAUAACCCAUCUAAAUCUAACUCUCUCUGCAAAUGUUAUAUCUGCCACACCUGCAGUGCACAUGGUUUUGCACAACUGCUAACAAUGCUGCUGCGUUCAACUCUGAAUUAUCCCCAUGGUUUUGUUCAUUAAAGAAGGAGUUUGCUUUUGCAAACCAACCUGAAUCACUGCCUAAGAGUAACAUAAAGACUCGUAAUGUCUAGUAAAGUUUUAUUUAAGGCUUAAAAUUCCUUUUAAGGAAUGUAGUAUAUUACUUGU